AGAUAGAGUACUGAAGGUCGACACCUGUUGAACAUUAGAUCACACUCAAGGAGGUCGGUCGAGAUUACAGUAAGAACAACAGUUGAAAAAGAUGAAAUUAUCUGCAAGCUUGUUUCUGAUUUUGGUAGUCGCUUUUACCUUCGUGUCUGAAGCUUUAUAUGUAUCCAACACUGAUUCCUACCCGACCCUCAAUAAAUGGAUGUCAAAUAAUUUUUUGAAACUCGGUGGCCAUCAACCCUGGGACAUUCAGGGACCAUGCAAAGCAGCCCUAACAAGGUGUGGUGGUAGAUACGGACUAUGCUGCAAUACAAAUCUAAAAUGCGUACGAGGCUAUUGUGAGCGAGGCUAAUGAAUUGAAGCUUUGCCGUUCCAAUAAAGCUAAACAGUGAUUAGG